rnacentral:lncRNA from 1 species
CCAAAAAAUCCGGGUCUUCCAGGAAAUCCGUGUCUUCCAGCAAGUCCACGUCUUCCAACAAAGCCAUGUCUUCCAGACUAUCCAUGUCUUCCAGAAAAUCCUUGUCUUCCCUCAAAUCCAUAGCUUCCGAAAAAUCCAGGUCUUCCAGGAAAUCCGUGUCUUCCAGCAAAUCCACGUCUUCCAACAAAGCCAUGUCUUCCAUCAAAUUAAUGUCUUCCAGCCUACUUGUGUCUUCCAACAAAGGUACGUCUUCCAACAAAGGUACGUCUUCCAACAAAGGUAUGUCUUCCAACAAAGGUCUUCCAGCAUCUCCAGGGCUUCCAGCAUCUGCUCGUCUUCCAACAUCUCCACGUCUUCCAGCAUCUCUGUGUCUUCCAGCAUCUUCAUGUCUUCCAACAACUACCCAGUCUUCCAUCAACUGGCUCAAUAUCCAUGUCUUCCAACGUCUCCAGUGUGCUGAUCUUCUGACAUUCAGGUCUUCCAGUGUCUGCAAUAUCCAGGUAUUCUAACAUGUUCUAUAGUCCAGAUCUUCCAGCCUUUCCCCAGGUCCAGGCCUUUUCAAAUCUAGGCUUCCCCUGUCUGAGCCUUCCCAUGUUAAAAUCACUCUACAGAAAAAUCUUCCAACUCAACUAUUUCUGCUUCUAGUUGAAUUAGCUUCAAAAACAUUUAAUGGGACAUUCCUCCUUAUAGACCAGAUCUUAUG